rnacentral:rRNA from 1 species
UACGUAGGGGGCAAGCGUUGUCCGGAAUCAUUGGGCGUAAAGCGCGCGUAGGCGGCCCGGUAAGUCCGUUGUGAAAGUCAAAGGCUCAACCUUUGAACGCCGAUGGAUACUGCCGGGCUAGAGUCCGGAAGAGGCGAGUGGAAUUCCUGGUGUAGCGGUGAAAUGCGCAGAUAUCAGGAGGAACACCAAUGGCGAAGGCAGCUCGCUGGGACGUGACUGACGCUGAGACGCGAAAGCGUGGGGAGCGAACAGG